rnacentral:rRNA from 1 species
GUCUUUUUGACUAUAAUUUAAAGUCUGGCCUGCCCAAUGAUUAUUUGAAUGGCUGCAGUAUUUUGACUGUACAAAGGUAGCAUAAUCAUUAGUUUUUUAAUUGAAAGCUUGUAUGAAUGGCUGAAUGAGGAAGUAACUGUCUCAAUUUAAAUUUAUAAGAAUUUUAUUUUUAAGUUAAAAAGCUUAAAUAUAUUUAAAAGACGAGAAGACCCUAUAGAGUUUAAUAGUUUAAUUUAGGUUAAAUAUAGGAAUAUUAAUUUUAGCUUAUUGAUGAUUAUUUGGUUGGGGUGACUAGAAAAUUUAGUAAACUUUUCUUUACUAGUAUACAUUGAUUGAUGAUUUGUUGAUCCAGAUUAUUUCUGAUUAAAAGAUAAAAUUACCUUAGGGAUAACAGCGUAAUUUUUUUUGAGAGUUCUUAUCGAUAAAAAAGUUUGCGACCUCGAUGUUGGAUUAAAAUUAAUUUUUGGCGUAGUAGUUAAAAUAUUAGGUCUGUUCGACCUUUAAAAUUUUACGUGAUC